AUUGAACGCUGGCGGCAGGCCUAACACAUGCAAGUCGGACGGUAGCACAGAGGAGCUUGCUCCUCGGGUGACGAGUGGCGGACGGGUGAGUAAUGUCUGGGGAUCUGCCCGAUAGAGGGGGAUAACCACUGGAAACGGUGGCUAAUACCGCAUAACGUCGCAAGACCAAAGAGGGGGACCUUCGGGCCUCUCACUAUCGGAUGAACCCAGAUGGGAUUAGCUAGUAGGCGGGGUAAUGGCCCACCUAGGCGACGAUCCCUAGCUGGUCUGAGGGGAUGACCAGCCACACUGGAACGGAGACACGGGCCAGACUCCUACGGGAGGCAGCAGUGGGGAAUAUUGCACCAUGGGCGCAAGCCUGAUGCAGCCAUGCCGCGUGUAUGAAGAAGGCCUUCGGGUUGUAAAGUACUUUCAGCGGGGAGGAAGGCGGUGAGGUUAAUAACCUCACCGAUUGACGUUACCCGCAGAAGAAGCACCGGCUAACUCCGUGCCAGCCGCCGCCGUAA
rnacentral:rRNA from 1 species